rnacentral:lncRNA from 1 species
UUUGACAGCAGCGGGGGUGGAGACAUGACACAGAUAAUGCCUAGUCCUGAGAAGGCUUUUAACCUGGUUUUGGUCUUCUACGAGUGCGGGCUCGUCCUCACUCGGCCCUUCCUCAUCAGUGUUGGCUUUCAGCUCGCCCGCCCAACAUCCUGUGGACGCUGCAGUUCAGACAAACAGCAAGAUCAUCAAAGAGAAGAGCAUGAAUGAAAAACUGCUUUAUGACAUGCCUUCAAAGUGUCUUUUUAGAAGUUCAAAGGAUGCGGAGAGGAGGCAGGGGAAUCAAAGACGAUGGGGGAGAGCAAUGAACUCUCCAAGGGAUCAUUGGGGUUUCAUUGUAUAUUUUCUAUGACGCUUGUGAUGUAAAAAUCAAAAGUAAUCUCAGCCCUCAAGGGCUCUGUGUGUGUGUACAUCUGAUGCAAAGGAGAAGACUCACCUUGCUGGUGGAAGGCUUUACCCUGGCAUUCUCAGUCACACGCUUGCAUCUGCAUUUCCUGUUUGGACCUCGAUCGAAUAUUUUGAUCUGGGAAGACUGUGUCCAGAAACGGAGAUUGAAUGCUGCUUAUGUGGUUCGAUGGAGAUGAAUAAUUUAGUCCAUGCAGAAGUCCCCCAUUACCUUUUCCAUUACCUUUCCAUUACUCUAAACAAGCUAGAGUCCACUUGUAGCAGUGGCUAUGCAGAGCUCAGAAAAGAUCUGGCAUAGAUGAUAAGAUCCCAGAGGCCUCUGAUCUGACAGAGAGAACUGAGAUUCUACUUGAGUUUGGAUCCGGACCUAAUUGAUAUACUCAUGGGAACGCCACUGAUACUUGGACACUUUAGAAUGCCUUAUGCCAAAUCCAUCCAGACAGAAUGCUUGGGCAACUAACUAGUGCCUGGCACAUGGGGGGUGCUUAGGUGAAAUGAAUGAAUGAUGGAAGAGAUGAGCAGCUUUGUUUUAUAACCCUAGAGUAGACUCUUUUAUGAGAAUGUUUCCUAUCGUCCUUGGGCCAUUGAUGCCCAGAAUACAAGGAUAGUCUUAAGGAUCUGAAUUGCUCUGUUAGUCAAGUCUGUAAGAGAUUUCAUCUGCAAGGGACAGAUACCUCAACUCAAACUGGACUGAGAUAGAAGGAACUUUGUUGAUUAAAAUUAUUGAAAAUUCAAGGGUCACUUUGGAAGCAUCUGCCUUUGACUCGGGUCAUGAUCCUAGGGUCCUGGGAUCAAGCCCCACAUUGGGCUCCUUGCUCAGUAGGGAGCCUGCUUCUUUUCCCUCUGCCCCCUAUCCCUACUAGUGCUCUCUUCUCUCUCUUGCUCUGCCCAACUCUCUCUCUCUCUCUUUCUCAAAUAAAUAAAUAAAAUCUUUUAAAAAAGUAAAAUUA